rnacentral:rRNA from 1 species
UGGCGGCACGCCUAACACAUGCAAGUCGAACGCAGUAGCAAUACUGAGUGGCAAACGGGUGAGUAUAAUGUGGGAAUCUGCCUUUUGGUUUGGAAUAACACGGGGAAACUUGUGCUAAUACCGAAUAAGCCCUUACGGGGAAAGUUUUAACGCCGAAAGAUGAGCCCGCACUUGAUUAGCUAGUUGGUAGGGUAAAAGCUUACCAAGGCAACGAUCAAUAGCUGUUCUUAGAGGAAGACCAGCCACAUUGGGACUGAGACACGGCCCAGACUCCUACGGGAGGCAGCAGUGGGGAAUCUUGCACAAUGGGGGAAACCCUGAUGCAGCGAUGCCGCGUGAGUGAAGAAGGCCUUUGGGUUGUAAAGCUCUUUCGUCGGGGAAGAAAAUGACUGUACCCGAAUAAGAAGGUCCGGCUAACUUCGUGCCAGCAGCCGCGGUAAUACGAAGGGACCUAGCGUAGUUCGGAAUUACUGGGCUUAAAGAGUUCGUAGGUGGUUGAAAAAGUUGGUGGUGAAAUCCCAGAGCUUAACUCUGGAACUGCCAUCAAAACUUUUCAGCUAGAGUAUGAUAGAGGAAAGCAGAAUUUCUAGUGUAGAGGUGAAAUUCGUAGAUAUUAGAAAGAAUACCAAUUGCGAAGGCAGCUUUCUGGAUCAUUACUGACACUGAGGAACGAAAGCAUGGGUAGCGAAGAGGAUUAGAUACCCCUCGUAGUCCAUGCCGUAAACGAUGUGUGUUAGACGUUGGAAAUUUAUUUUCAGUGUCGCAGCGAAAGCGAUAAACACACCGCCUGGGGAGUACGACCGCAAGGUUAAAACUCAAAUGAAUUGACGGGGACCCGCACAAGUAGUGGAGCAUGUGGUUUAAUUCGAAGAUACGCGCAGAACCUUACCAACACUUGACAUGUUCGUCGCGACUUUAAGAGAUUAAAGUUUUCGGUUCGGCCGGACGAAACACAGGUGCUGCAUGGCUGUCGUCAGCUCGUGUCGUGAGAUGUUGGGUUAAGUCCCGCAACGAGCGCAACCCUCACUUUUAGUUGCCAUCAUUUAGUUGGGCACUCUGAAAGAACUGCCAGUGAUAAGCUGGAGGAAGGUGGGGAUGACGUCAAGUCCUCAUGGCCCUUACGUGUUGGGCUACACACGUGCUACAAUGGCAUUCACAAUAGGAAGCAAAACGGCGACGUUAAGCAAAUCCUAAAAAAAUGCCUCAGUUCGGAUUGUACUCUGCAACUCGAGUACAUGAAGCUGGAAUUACUAGUAAUCGCGGAUCAGCGCGCCGCGGUGAAUACGUUCCCGGGUCUUGUACACACCGCCCGUCACACCAUGGGAGUUGGUUCUACCUUAAGGUAAAGGUUAAAAACUUUGACCACGGUAUAGUCAGCGACUAGGGUGAAGUCGUAACAA